GUGCCAGCCGCCGCGGUAAUACGUAGGUGGCAAGCGUUGUCCGGAUUUAUUGGGUUUAAAGGGUGCGUAGGCGGCUUUGUAAGUCAGUGGUGAAAUAUGGCAGCUCAACUGUCAAGGUGCCAUUGAUACUGCGAGGCUUGAGUACAGAUGAGGUAGGCGGAAUUGACGGUGUAGCGGUGAAAUGCUUAGAUAUCGUCAAGAACACCUAUAGCGAAGGCAGCUUACUAGGCUGUAACUGACGCUGAGGCACGAAAGUGUGGGGAUCAAACAGGAUUAGAUACCCGGGUAGUCC
rnacentral:rRNA from 1 species